CAGCCAAAUCGUGCUGAAACACCAAUUCUCGUAUGGUCACAAAAGUUAAGCAACAUUGAUCCUGGUCAGUACCUAGAUGGAUGACCACUUGGGAAAAUCAGGUACUGUAA